AACAGCGUAAUCUUUUUAGAGAGUUCAAAUCGAAAAUGGGGAUUGCGACCUCGAUGUUG
rnacentral:tRNA from 1 species